GCCGCGUGCGGGAUGANCGCUUCGGGUAGUAAACCGCUUUUACCAGGAAGGAAAAUGACAGUACCUGGAGAAUAAGGUGCAGCCAACUACGUGCCAGCAGCCGCGGUGACACGUAGGCACCAAGCGUUGUCCGGAUUUAUUGGGCGUAAAGAGCUCGUAGGCGGUUCAGUAAGUCGGGUGUGAAAACUCUGGGCUUAACCCAGAGACGCCACCCGAUACUGCUGUGACUUGAGUCCGGUAGGGGAGUGGGGAAUUCCUGGUGUAGCGGUGAAAUGCGCAGAUAUCAGGAGGAACACCAAUGGCGAAGGCACCACUCUGGGCCGAGACUGACGCUGAGGAGCGAAAGCGUGGGUAGCAAACAGGAUUAGAUACCCUGGUAGUCCACGCCGUAAACGGUGGGCACUAGAUGUGGGUUCCAACCAACGGAAUCCGCGUCGUCGCUAACGCAUUAAGUGCCCUGCCUGGGGAGUACGGCCGCAAGGUUAAAACUCAAAGGAAUUGACGGGGGCCCGCACAAGCAGCGGAGCGUGUUGCUUAAUUCGAUGCUACGCGAAGAACCUUACCUGGGUUUGACAUGUACGGCAAAGCCACAGAGAUGUGGUGUCCUUCGGGGUCGUACACAGGUGGUGCAUGCCUGUCGCAGGUCGUGUCGGGAGAUGUUGGGUUAGUUCCGCAACGAGCGCAACCUUGUCUAUUUGCCGGGGGUAUGCCGGGACUCUAAAGAUGCGGGGUCACUUCG
rnacentral:rRNA from 1 species